UGGGGGAUAUUGCACAAUGGGCGCAAGCCUGAUGCAGCGACGCCGCGUGGGGGAUGAAGGCCUUCGGGUUGUAAACUUCUUUUGCUCUGAACAAGGCGCACUUUGGGGUGUGUUGAGUGUAGGGGUUGAUUGGCGCCGGCUAACUACGUGCCAGCAGCCGCGGUAAUACGUAGGGCGCGAGCGUUGUCCGGAAUUAUUGGGCGUAAAGGGGUUGUAGGUGGCUGGUUGCGUCUGUCGUGAAAGCUCAUGGCUUAACUGUGGGUUUGCGGUGGGUACGGGCUGGCUUGAGUGCAGUAGGGGAGGCUGGAAUUCCUGGUGUAGCGGUGGAAUGCGCAGAUAUCAGGAGGAAUACCGGUGGCGAAGGCGGGUCUCUGGGCUGUUACUGACACUGAGGAGCGAAAGCAUGGGGAGCGAACAGG
rnacentral:rRNA from 1 species